rnacentral:rRNA from 1 species
AUGGUUUCUCAUCUAAAAGGCGUUUAGGCCAUGCUUCUAGGCGUCGCCAAAGGAUGGGGCCGCGGCCGAUCAGGUUGUUGGUGAGGCAACGGCUCACCAAGCCUAUAACCGGUACGGGCCGUGAGAGCGGGAGCCCGGAGAUGGGCACUGAGACAAGGGCCCAGGCCCUACGGGGCGCAGCAGUUGCGAAAACUCCGCAAUGCGCGAAAGCGUGACGGGGCUACCCCGAGUGCCGUCCGCUGAGGACGGCUUUUCCACGGUGUAGGGAGCCGUGGGAAUAAGGAGAGGGCAAGCCUGGUGUCAGCCGCCGCGGUAAUACCAGCUCUCCGAGUGGUGGGGACGAUUAUUGGGCUUAAAGCGUUCGUAGCCGGCUCAGCAAGUCUUCCGUUAAAUCCAGCGAUUUAAUCGUUGGGCUGCGGGAGAUACUGUUGGGCUAGGGGGCGGAAGAAGCCGACGGUAUUCUCGGGGUAGGGGUGAAAUCCUGUAAUCCCGGGAAGACCACCAGUGGCGAAGGCGGUCGGCUAGAACGCGCUCGACGGUGAGGGACGAAAGCUGGGGGAGCGAACCGGAUUAGAUACCCGGGUAGUCCCAGCUGUAAACGA